UUUCACUGUUGAUACUUACCUGCACAUCGAGCUAAAGCUAUACUCACCAGGUGAAACUAGUAAGCCCAGAGUAAAGAGCCUGUGACUGCUAUUGAUACUUACUUGCACGUCGAGCUAAAGCUAUACUCACCUGGUGAAACUCGUAAGCCCAGAGUAAAGAGCCUGUGACUGCUAUUGAUACUUACUUACACGUCGAGCUAAAGCUAUACUCACCUGGUGAAACUCUUAAGCCCAGAGUAAAGAGCCUGGGUGUUGUAAAUGAUACUGGCCGGUACAUCGAGCUAAAACCAUGCUUACCUUGUGAACCUUGUAGGUCCAGCAUCAAGAGCCCAUGGCGGCCACUGUUACCUACCUGUACACCGAGUCCAAGCUGUACUUACCUUGUGAGUCCUGGAAGCCCCGAGUGAAGAGUCAACGUCCUGUGUAGCAUGCUGCCCGUGCCCGGGAGCCCGCUGGAGUAGAGGGAUCAUUGGGUGUCCCACCGGGCUGGAACCGAGGAAAUAUGCCUUUGCUAGGCCCAGGUAGUUGUUUUCUGUCUUCCCCGUAUUCAUUGUGUGUUUCUGAUCUGCCUUCAGGAGAAGAGAAGGGCGCCACGGGAACAACAACCGCAGGAUGUGUGUACAGGGACGAAGGAGCUCUGUCCUGUCCUUUCCCUGCAGACCCUUACCCUUGCUGGCUGGUCUUCCCCCUCUUUCUCUGGACCCCGUCUCCCCCUGGAGGAGAGAGAAAGAAUAUUUUAGACUUCCCUUUCCCCAGUUGAUUUUAAAUAAAUUAAUAAAGUUUGUCUUAAAUUUUACUUAUCACUCUCGUGUGUCUGGUCAUUGGGGUGCUUUUGGGACCUCCUCGAGGUGGAACCUAGGAAUGCGCAAAGAACCAACCUAUUUUUUUAAACUGAAUUUAAUCGACAUAACUUGGAUUUAAAAGACAUGCAAUUCGCUUAAAACCUAUAUAUAUAUUUA